rnacentral:lncRNA from 1 species
AAAGGAGCUUAAUUAAACUGUAGGCAAAAUUUCGCCAAUCCAACAAGGAAUAAAACCACAGGAGGCUCUGUGUGUAGCACACAGCUUGAGCACCUGUGCUCUCAGACCUGAAGUCCAGGCCAGAGCUUCUGAGUUUGUUUGCUAGCUUUUUUUGGCAGGCUUCACUGAAGUCCAUCUAGAGCAGGAAGAGAUCAAGGCCAAAUCCCACGGUGGAAGGACAGUUAUUCACAUGGAAUGAGACCCCCAAAAACUGGCACUUAGUCUGGUUCCGCCUGUCAUUUCACAUCAAAUGAUAUGUUCCAAUUCGAGCCCAACCAGCACCUCCAAUAAGCCACUUCGUUACAGGCAAUAUCUCCUGAAUAAACAGGUUUAGCAAAUAUACCUUGCACAAAAAUAGUUAUAAGCCAGAAGUUUGCCCCACAUCGUAGCCCAUCUAGAAAAAUGGCAAAUACCAUUUAAUUCCAUUGGCCAUUGCUUCACCUUUUCAAAACAACAGAAGACAACUAGCACAAUAGGUAUAAUUGAUAUAUUUCACUGCAGUUAGUGGUUCAAUAUUGAAGAACAAGCGUUAACUUAUGCUGCAGUGAAAACUAAAGAAGAUGCCAACCCCAGCAGAGGUGGUGAGGGAGAAAAAGCACUUCCAGCAGCUUUCAGAUUUUGUAAUGCGUCACAACCGGUGGCUCUUUAUUGGGGUCCCCUCCUUUCUCCAGGUACAGGUCAUUGAAGGGAUACUGCUUCGGUCCCACAGGCCUGUAAGAUGGAUAGAUCUCUCCAAGAACAAACAUGACCAGCAUGGUACCCAAAAAAAUCAGGAAGUGGUUGCGCAUAGUAUGCCACGGAACUGGAGUGGGGGAUGUAUCAACACGGUUCCGAAUAUACAUGUCAAAGUCCCAGUGCAUCGGCUCUCCCCAGUUGCGCCUCAUGUCUGGCUGGUCCCACUGGUACCAGGGGUCUCGCUCAUGUAUAGACUUAUUAGGGAGCAUGGGAUAAUCACCAUACCCGAAGCCGUCGUCAGGGUAAGGCUGGUAGUCCUCUACCCGCAUGUUGUACUUCUUGGCGGCCGCCGCCCGCUCCUCCGCCGUCCGUGGGUAGGGCCCAGGCAGCUGAUCCUUGGUCAGACCCGAAGCCGCCCGUGCCCCCGGAGGCGCCGCCGCGGCGGCCCGCGCCGCCCACAGCCAGCCUGCCGCCUGCCGCCAGAGGACACCGCCGCGCCCGACCGCCGCCAUCGCCCCGCCGCGCAGGCGCCGCCGACGGUAGCUGGCA